AUAUAAAAAUAAUCUCUAGCAUCACCCUCACUACCUUUGUCCUUGCUCAAGAGAGAUACGGCUUAACAGUUUGGUGUUUGUUGGAUAGUGGACCAUGCCAGGAAAUUUGGUAAGGUUGAGUGGGUCUAGAGUCCCCAACACCCAGGAACUCACUUGAGAUGGUAGGUGGUUCCUUGCUUUCUACCAGAUUCCUGGCCAGGAACACAUGCUACUUCCCACAUAGGAAACAUGACCUGUAGUCACUUAGCCCAAAAGCAGAGUUCUCCAUCCUAAUGAGGUACCUAGAGGCCCUGAGGGUUUAACCAAUAAGCUCCCCUGCCCAGAUAUCCCUUCCUACAAAAGGUAUUUAAUCACUGGUCCAUCCUGAGGAGGUGGUAUAUUCAUUUUUCACAAUGAACAGUCGAUAAAGGGUAUGGAUAAGCAUAGACUCUGUCUUUCAUCAAGAACCACCAUGGGGAACAUGGAGAAAACCGUCCACUACUGAGCUGCAGCCUUAGUUUCUGGCAGAAGACCCAUCUGCACUCCCACACAACCACUGCCAAACUAAGGACAAUCGCUAAUGAGCUAAACCAGAGCUUCUAUUUUCCGCCCCAGCUAAUUGUAGUCUCUGCCCACUAGGCCUGACUCCAUUCCCAACACUGCACGAUUUAAUGGUGCUGGAUGUCCAGGAGUUGGGAGCCCCCAGUCCAGUUUCAUCAGAGAGCCCAUGGACCCUGAUCGUUCCUUGGAGACUGGUCUGUGCGGCUUCCCAGCAGCAACUAGAUGCCUGGGAGUCAGAAAACCCUAGCUUCAGCCUCCCAUAUCUUAGACUAUGUUUUCCCACCCGUUGAGCAGUGUCCUGGUACUCCAGCAUCAAGGCAAAACAGGGAUCCACAACUAGCAGGGUCCACUAUCCCACAGGUGUUUAAGCUCCUUUUCUAUCCUUUCACAUAUAUUUGCUUUAUCUUAUACAGUUAGGAUCAUACAGGUUUGUGUUUUGGAAUAUUUUCUUCUAUCUUAAUAUUAUACUUUUAUCAUUAUGUUCUAAUAAAUGAUAGAUUAUUAUUAAAAAAUUUUUUUCUUAGACAUACCAACAUAUCAGUUGCUAUUUGCCCUUAAUACUCCUUAACUUUUUUCUACUGUUUUAGGAUAGAUUAAGACAAACAUCAAAUGUGUCACAUGUGAAUCUUUGGGACUUCGGGAAUCAUGAUCCUCUUUCAUCACUGCACUCUCAGUCAACAUAAAAUUUUUGAAAAUGCAUCUCCUGAAAGGAGUUAGCACUGAUGUUAAUUGCUGAGCUCUCACAAGGAAAGUUACACAGCAAAUUGUCAAUGGGGUUUAACAUUCAAGUUUCCAAAUCUUAUGUAAAGGCUGCCAUUGCCCAUUGUUGAAAAGUAAAACAUUUCUUACUCACUUUUGUGUGGCAGCAUUGUCAAGUCUGAAUUUGGGGAGCUGUAAUUAUGAGACAGUGUGGGUAUGUAAUCCCUAUGGAAAUCUUAUGAUGUUUGCUACACGGAUGGAAGAAUAUACUUAUUAACAACCUUAGUUUUUGGUUUAGUGUGGCUAAUUUCAUGUAUCUUAAUUUUAUAGCUACAUAAAAAUAGGAUCAAAUAUAGAACUGAUGGAAGAAUUCAUUAAUUAACGACCUUAGCUUUUUGUUUGGUGUGGUUAAUUUCAUGUAUUUUAAUUUUAUAGCUAUGUAAAAACAGAACCAAAUAUUUAGUCUGAAAUUAAACAGAGUAGUUUGAAUUUUUCUGCUCUCAUUUCUUGUAAAUAGCAAGCAUUUUUUUUCACAAAAAAAUUGUUGAUUCAUUCAGAAGUCUAAAAUCUUGCAUGAAAUUAAAGGAAAGUUCUGUUAUACAAAGCAAAAAUACGCUUCUGCCAGGAAAAGUGCCAUCCAUAAAUAAAUAAAUAAAUAAUAAAGUUCCAGGUCUGUUUUUAAUCUCACAUUUAGUUAAGGCACGGUUCUGAUAGAGGUAGUGAACUGCCAAAGGAAAAUGCUUUCCUGCUGCUGAAGAAAUGAUGAGGCAGGCAGGGGGUUUAUUUUUAUAACAAUGUGUUUUGAUCCUGUGACAAAUGUUUCACCAUAGCCUUAACAUUUUUCCUAUUCUAAACUAAAUUGUGCAUGUUAACAUUUUGAUCUGUCUCAACUUCUAAGAACACUAAGAUGUAUUGUUGGUGUUGAGGACUUUUCUCUCUGGUUUCCUGUAUGUUUAAUUCAAUUACAUCAUUCUUGAGUGUUUCCCACUUGCAAAGUACCAUCUAGUACUGUCUAGUCAUAGAAAGAUGGUUAAACCAACACGUCUUUAUGAAAGAGGUGAAACUACCUCUAAGUAACUUAGGUACAAAGAAGAGUGCAGUAUGGUUUAUAAAACAAAAACAAAAAACAAAAAACAAGCAAACCAGAAAAUGCUGCAAGUGAAACCAAGGAGGGCAUAAAUUUAAAUAAGGAAGAUCCUAGAAGUCUUGGGAAACAGAGAAGCAGAGACUUUUAUUAAGAGAUGUAUAUCAUUUGAUAUAUUGCUGUGAGAGUUUUGGGGGCUGGAAAACCUAUCUAGAAGAACAGAGAAAGUUUAAAUACGGCACACAUAUGACACUGUGGUUGUCUGUUUAUGAAUUUAGAACUGAGACCACACCUAUCCUCUCCAGUAUGGCAAUAACUAGCAGCAUGUAACUGUUUAGAUUUAUAUUUAAGAAAACAAAACUCAAUAGUCAAUCUUUCAGCCAUAUUAGAUACAUGUUAAGUGCUUACUAGGCAUCAGAGGAAGAUAUUGUGGUGGAGGGGAUGGUAGAAAGAUUGCUGAUUAUUGCAUUUCACAUUUUUGCACCUACCUGGAAGUAUGCUAAAACAUCAGCUUCUAAGACCCACCACUUCAUUACUGAGUCUGAGAUGGAGCCUGAAGUUCUUUUUCUAGCAAGCUUGCAAGUGAAUGCCUAUGGUGGCAGGCCAGGGACCUCACUGUGAGUAGCUCCACAAGUGAUCAUGAUCCUAAACCUUCAAUUUUAUUGUAGACCAACACACAUACUUUUCAGCAGUAAAAAUAAAUUAAAACAAAAGUAUCUGAAAAGUAUCUAAACAGUACAAAAGUCAAAACAAGUAAAUUUCACAUGUGUGUAUUUAGAUUUCAAUAACUACAAUCC
rnacentral:lncRNA from 1 species